rnacentral:tRNA from 1 species
GCGGGCAUAAUUCAGUUGGUAGAAUGUCAGCUUCCCAAGCUGAAUGCCAGGGGUUCGAAUCCCCUUGCCCGCU